rnacentral:snRNA from 1 species
GUGCUCGCUCGGCAGCACUAAAAUUGAAAUGAUACAGAGAAGAUUAGCAUGGCCCCUGCGCAAGAAUAACACACAAAUUCGUGAAGCGUUCCAUAUUUUU